rnacentral:lncRNA from 1 species
GAACAUAAGUUAGAACAGCAAAAGGAUCAGGUAAAUAAAUAGGAUAGUGGAUUGAGCUUCCCAAAUCUUCAUGAAAAGAUCAGAUAAAGCUCGAAUCUGAAUAGGUAGGCACAAUUGCCAUAAUGGUUAAAGCAGAGUGACAACAUAACAUCAACUAAUUUCCAACUAGAGGCCAUGGUUUGGGCCAACAAAGCAGAUUCCUUUUGGUU